GACGAACGCUGGCGGCGUGCUUAACACAUGCAAGUCGUACGGUAAGGCCCUUUCGGGGGUCCACGAGUGGCGCACGGGUGUGUAACACGUGAGUAACCUGCCCACAACUUUGGGAUAACGCUAGGAAACUGGUGCCAAUACUGGCUAUGUGCUCCUGCUGCAUGGUGGGGGUUGGAAAGCUCCGGCGGUUGUGGAUGGACUCGCGGCCUAUCAGCUUGUUGGUGGGGUAGUGGCCUACCAAGGCGGCGACGGGUAGCCGGCCUGAGAGGGUGACCGGCCACAUUGGGACUGAGAGACGGCCCAGACGGCGACGGGAGGCAGAAGUGGGGAAUAUUGCACAAUGGGCGCCAGCCUGAUGCAGCAACGCCGCGGGCGGGAUGACGGCCUUCGGGUGGUAGACCGGUUGCAGCAGGGACGAAGCUUGUUGUGACGGUACCUGCAGAAGAAGCACCGGCUAACUACGUG
rnacentral:rRNA from 1 species